rnacentral:lncRNA from 1 species
CCCUGCUAUACUUUAAUAAGAAAGGAAGAAUAGCAAGAUUUUAUUCCUUGGGUAGGAGUGUAGGUGGCACCACAGCUAAAAUUAGUUAUAAAAAAAAAUGUUACCAUCCUUUGUGCUGUGGUUGCUCUUCGUCGGUGUGAUUUGGAGCACAGUCACAGGUGAACGACAACUUUCUUCUUUUCAGGCUUGCUAUGUUUGCUUUCAAAGGUCUCUAGGUCUCUAGUCUCUUGGGUUAAUUUUCAUCACAAACACGUGCUCUAGACGAUAAAUACUUACUGGACUAACACUGCGAAGAUAAAACGAAAGAAAGAAAAGAUGAAAACAAAGGAAGAAAGAAACACAGAAACAAAGAAACAAAGAAAGGUCAAACUCCACCUGGGACGACUGGGAAGAGCCUCAGCCUCUAGGUUUUACUGUGGGAUCGCACAGAAAUGGUUCUCUCUGGUGCUGUGCUUCUUCUCCCUGCCACACCCCCUGCUGCAAUGUUCCAGACUCUUAAAAUCAUUUGCUUAGGAAAAGAUCCCAUAAAACCUUUUUACAUUGUAUCCAGUCUGUGUUAAAACAGAAAUAUCCCUGCAAGGAGUACAGAUGAAGGAGGGAAGUGUGUGAGCACCCCUCAUCUUCCUGAAGAACAUCACUCAGACUAAGGGAGAAGAUGGGUGGCCCAAGGUAAAUCCUAGAGGAGUGGAGAUACCCAGGCUGUGUAUGGAUCUUCAAGAGAAAGAGACUCAAGCUCUUCUUCGCUCACAUCUGAAAAUAUCCUAGGCUACAGGCAUUGACUAUUUUCUCAGUUGCCUAUGACCUCUACUGCCUAUGAUCUUCAAAUCUGUUCAGGUCAUGGUUCAUCUAAUCCUUUCUUAGGUGUUGUUCAUACUCUACCUGUGAAACUCAUGCAUGUCUGCCUUUGUUAUUUUCCACAUACAAACGACCUUGAUGGAUGGUUUUAUAACACAAACAUGUGAGCAGCUCAAAAAUAUUAGGCAGCUCGGUUCGAAUAAUCUAUCUCUGUUAUUUGUACCAACUUGGAAGCUGGCUUUCUUUCAACCCUGCUGCUCACCUCCCCAAGGUCUCCUUCACUUCAGGUCUUCAUCAAUUUGAAGGACAGUUUUACUCAAUCUGCUUCUUCCUGUUUCAGUUUUUUUUUCCCCCGAGCCUGUUUUUGCUUUUUCCUUUUCUCAAACAAGAAACUAAAAAUAUUCUUUUCUCAGAACUAUGGUGCCAAUUUGUAAAAUAAUAUCUCUACUUAAAAUUUUAUUUCUGUCUUUGCAUAAGUGAAAUACCAGAGAACAGUUUUAAGCUGAAGGUAGCAAGGAAACAAAAGCUUUUAUUAGAACUGGUGCACAGCAGGAACUCAAGACAGCAAAAUGGGUUUAGAUCCUGGUGUGCCACACGGCAAACCUCAGCUUUGAUUUGUCCCAGGUACAUAGACCCUCUCUAUUUUCUGUGUCCACUAACUUAGGUUCUUGAUUUAAAAGCCUUCUGGAAAACAAAUAGUGUCAUUUCAGGUUUUAUUUUGUUAUUGUCUUCAGAUUUCCAAAUGUCGCCUUUCAGAGUAGCUUUGAUCACCCCUGUCUACAAGUUAAUAAUAUUUUCUUUGCACAGGCUUUUGCAUGAAUGACUUGGGAUCAUAACCUCUCCCCAAUUAUGUAAUAUUAAAUCUCUUCUCUAGCAGCUGGGAUUAGAAUGAGGAGAAAUUAAUAAGCUGCAGAGAGACACAAAAUGAGUCAUUAAGACCAGGGACAUAUUUCAGGCACUGGACCCAAAAGUUCUGCUUAUUGACAGACCUACCAGUCUCCUGUGAAUUA